UACAGAGGUCUCUAGCGUUGUUCGGAUUCAUUGGGCGUAAAGGGUGCGUAGGUGGCGUGGUAAGUCGGGCGUGAAAUUUCGGAGCUUAACUGCGAAACUGCAUUUGAUACUGCUGUGCUUGAGGACUGGAGAGGAGACUGGAAUUUACGGUGUAGCAGUGAAAUGCGUAGAGAUCGUAAGGAAGACCAGUGGCGAAGGCGGGUCUCUGGACAGUUCCUGACACUGAGGCACGAAGGCCAGGGGAGCAAACGGG
rnacentral:rRNA from 1 species